rnacentral:tRNA from 1 species
GGCAAGAUGGCCGAGCGGUUAAGGCGUGUGACUCAAGCUCUGCUUGCCUGCAUAAGCGGGUUUUCUCAUAACGUAAUGUUGCGUGGGUUCGAGUCCCACUCUUGUCA